UACGAAGGGGGCUAGCGUUGCUCGGAAUUACUGGGCGUAAAGGGUGCGUAGGCGGACAGUUUAGUCGGGGGUGAAGGCCCGGGGCUCAACCUCGGAAUUGCCUUCGAUACUGGCUGUCUUGAGUACGGGAGAGGUGUGUGGAACUCCGAGUGUAGAGGUGAAAUUCGUAGAUAUUCGGAAGAACACCAGUGGCGAAGGCGACACACUGGCCCGUUACUGACGCUGAGGCACGAAAGCGUGGGGAGCAAACAGG
rnacentral:rRNA from 1 species